rnacentral:lncRNA from 11 species
UGUGGAAUCAUGUUCUUAUUGGUGAAAUGGCAAUGGAGAAAUGGAAACAGGUGGUACAGUUUGGUGAAUCACUAGAGAAGCUGUCCUUCUCUGAAGUACAUUUCUCAUAGUCUCAUAGAAUUUCAUAGGAUAUUGCCAUGACAGUCAUACCUGGUGAAAUGAUGUUGUAUCCUGCCUUGAUGUUGUAUCCCACCUCAAGCUGGAGAGACAGGAAGUAGGCUACAAUUCUUGGAGAACCCGAGGGGAAUCAACAACUGAAGUCCUCCAAAAUGGAUAGUCCUUUCAAGAUGAACUACUUGUUAGAUGUUGAUUCUGCCUACCGGUUGUUUUACAGCCAAGGAGCACAAGCUCGCCGGGCGACCCUGCUCACCGUACCCACCUUAAUGGCGGCAUCUUCCGAGGAGGACAUCGACCGGAGACCCAUCCGGAGAGUCCGGUCCAAGAGUGACACCCCUUACCUCGCCGAGGCCAGGAUCUCCUUCAACCUCGAGGCAGGUGAGUGUGGCAAACGCCUCUCUCUCUCUCUCUUCUCCCAUCGCUGCUGCACUCCUCCCUCCCCUCUUUGUGUCUGAUGGGCGUGUGUGUGUGUGUAUACAGUAUAUAUAUACACACACAUACAUAUAGAGAUGCAGCUCCUGCUGCAGGAAUGCCAAUCCCCGACGCGUCUCCCUCUUUCUCCGCACACCGCCCGACAUCUGUGUAAAAGAGGAGCUGGAUCAAGGAGGUUGGGCGUUCAGCACCAGGCUGGAGGGCCCUGUCUGGAAGUCAUCGUGGCCUCAAAGUUCGGGGUGUGAAGACACACACAUGGGGAAGAGGCGAUUCCGCAGCCAGUGCAGACAGCCUGCCUGACAUUUCCCCAAACGUUGCCACCUCCUGGCUUCUCUUCAGCCUUUCCAGCCUCUCUCCCAGCCUGCAGGAUCUCUCACAUCCAGGGCUGUAGCCAAGGGAUUGGGGUUAGGAGUCCAACCCCCGGUCCUGGAAAUUUUUCAGGCUUAAAAUGAAUUUUAACUGAUUAACCAAAUCCCCAUGAGUGUCCACUGAAGUUUAUCAGUUUUGAAGUUUAUCAAUUGAGCCUGAUUUCUAAAUUAGUUUUGCAUUAUGGAACUACACUUCUUAGUUUGCUUUAAAAAAUUUCAACCCCCCCCCCAUUUUUCUCUGCUCACACCCCAUCCAUUUCCCCUCUCAAAGCCCUGCAUGCCCCUUCCCAAAC